rnacentral:piRNA from 1 species
UAAAAUCCAAUGAUGCCCUCUUCUGGUGUGU